AGUCGCAUGGUUGGCUGGAGAGGAUUUGGUCAUGAAUAAGAUGCAACCCCAAACCUCCUACACUGGCUCUGUGAGACCAGGUACAUUAAUCUUCCUUUGUAUCAGCAGCAAGCUGUGAAGUGAAUGGCAGGUGGGCUCUGGAAAUCAAUUUCCCUUUGAAGAGUCAUACAAAGUCAUUAUGAAUCUGGGAACCAACAGAGUUUAGACUUAUUGGUGGAGAAGAAUCCCUCCUACCUGCAAAAACCUGAGAGGAAAACAAAUGAAAACUGAGUCCUGGGAAGGUUACUGGAGGACACAUAGCUAAAGAGAACAGAGUAAUGUCUGAAGUAAAGACCUGACUCCACAGCCCUCUGACUCUUCACCACUGAGUGGGCAAAUCUCCUGGCAGGACCACAUCUCUUGUUUCUUGCUACCAGCCUAGGACUUGGGAAAUUGCCCUGGACAAGAUUCCACAUACAAGUGAAAUUCAUAUGAUAUUUAUCUUUCUCCGACUGACUUAUUUCACUUGGCAUGAUACCCUCUAGAUUCAUCUAUACUACCACAAGAGGUGAGGAAGAUGAGGAGAAGGAAGAUUAAUUUCCUUGUUCAAGUUAGUACAUCUAUUCAGUGGACAAGCAGGGACUGGAACCCUGGUCCAUCUGCCUCUAAAGCCUGUGUUCCUACCCUCAUUUUAUACUGGAAAAGGAAGGGGUGAUGCAGAAUGGCGUGUGAUUCCACCCAUUUUAAAUAGCGUGGACUCCACACUUGGUGUGACUAACUGAGCCUAUGACGGAAAGCACAGAGAGAGAAGAGAGAAACCAAAGAAGAAACUGGUCAGACAAUAAUACCUUUUCUCC